ACCCAGGCUUCUAGAUAGUGCUGGUAUUUCAUCUGUAAAGGAGAAUGGUAGGCUGGCCAAACACAGAUUAAUUUAAAAAGAUGAGCAGAAUAUGAAAGAAAAGAAGUGUACAGAAAACCAAGAAUUCAUUGCAAAAUAAAGGAAUAUUAAAAUUAAAAAUUCUGAAGUAGAAAAGUAGGUGAUCCAGAAGGUAGCUGUAUAAGUGGUUAGCCAAACUGCUGUGAGGUUAAGAAAGGUUUUCAAAUGAUCACAUCAUAGCUACAAUUUAAUAUUAAAGACAAAAAUGUGCAAGUCUGGAGCUGUGACUUUGGAAACCAUUGCUGUGUAAUUGUAGAUGUAUAUAUGUCUCUUUUAUUUGGAUGUUAGAAUAUCCUAAGAUCAUUAUAGGACUUGGUAUGGAGGAUAAAAUUAUGAACCUGAUAGCAAAAUUGGUCAAGAAAAUUGAAGAUUUAUCAGUGUGCUGGGAACAGAUGAGUAGAUGACAGCAUGAGCUACCAAGGAGAGGAUGAAUAUAAAAUAUUGAUGGAGGUUGGGUUACUAAUUCAAUCCAGGGCACUUCCUUCAUGUUGUCAAAGUACCUGGGAUUAUUAAUUAUUAAUUAUAGGAAAACAGAUUCAAAGUAAGAAGAUAUAUAAAUAGAAGGGGUAUAUUUUAUCAAGCCUGCAUUUGCCUGGUGAGCUGUCUGUACUCUUCCAGAUCUUGUACAGUGCAAAUGAGGAGUUCUUUGAAUCCACAGGAUCAGUGUUACUCUUUCUUACAGUUCUGAAUUAACAUGCAAGGUAAUUAUUCUUUGAGUUCCUCUUUCAUCGUUGCCAUUUUGACAGUGCCCUAAACGUUAAUACAGUAUAUUUCCUGAGUACAGAUGUCCAAUUAUUAUGCUUUCUCAAUUAUUAUCACAAUUCUAUUGUGCCAUCCUGAGGUGAUCUACAAGUCGCCUUGAUUCAAGUCCAGUUGUUGUGAAAGGUCUCACUCACCUAGAGAUGAUCCUUCAGAACUGUGUGAUUUUUAGGCUCCCUUCAAGUCUGCACAUCAGGCUUACUUGGGAAACUUUCUAAAAUUAGGUUCCCUAACUUUAAUUUUUAUGCUAUCCCUAGAGAUUCUGAUACAUAGGUAUAACUAUAACUCAUUUUUAUAGCUCUCUGGAAUAGAAAGAAAACUAUUGGUUCAAAGUCGGUUCAUAAAUGCGAUAUUUUUAAAUUGCGUUUCAAUGCUUUUUUUAAAAAAAUUGUUUCUCAGAGUUAAGUUUCUAUGAAAUUUUAUGGAAAACUUGUUCUAACCCAUAUGUAUAACCUAUAACAGGCCCUCAAGUUAGCAUUUGUAAUGGAAUUUAUCAUGUUGUAAAACUAUUCAAUUUGAGAAAACUGAAAAGUUAUUUUAAAACAAUAGGCUUAAAGAAAUGCUAUGUAUUAUUUUCUAUUUAUCACUCCUCUCCAUCUCAGCCUAUUGUGAAAGGGAAAUUUUCCUUCCUCUUCAAGGAUACUUGUUUAGUUAACAGCCAUAGAAAAUAGAGAUAAUACCCUCCUCCUUAGCAGAGACCAGGUUGACUGCUCAGUUUAAUAAAGAUUACAUUUUGCUCCAGGGAAAAUGGCAAAUGAGCGGAAGGUUUUCUUGCAGUCCAUUAUAAAUAUUAGGAUUUCUAAAUUCCAGGGUUCUUAAGCUGUGAAUAAAACUGACUGUGGACCAGCAACCACCUGGCCCACUCCCCAUUUUCCCCAUGGGACUUGGGGCAUAAGGGAAACCAAUUCAAACUGAUGCUCCUGCUAGUUGCAGUAGAGUAAUAAACCCCUUUGUCUCUAAUCCAAGACUCCCAUGUCUUCUGCCAGCAUCUCUGAAACUGUGGAAUAUCAGCUUAGCUUGCAAGCAGAAUAAAAUUUGACUAUUCAAACUCCUUGACAGAUCUAUAAAUAAAAAUUCAGAAAACUUGCCUCAUAGAAUUUCUGUGACUAUGAGGCAAGUUAUGUUCACAGGCAAGAACUGCUGUGAACAUAAUUAGUAAUAAAUGGAAAGUGUUUGGAAUAAUCCUGUUAUAUAUGUAAUCAUCUCAAAACCUUAUCUAUUAUUGGUGCUAGUAUUCAUACCUGUAGAAAUAGAUCCACUCUGCAUCACUCAAAGAUACAUGACAUACACAAUAGUCACACUAAAACUUCAUACCUUUAAGAAUGUACCCCUGCUUAAAAGUCUUUGUCACACUAAAUUACAGGCAAACUUCAAUGAAUACUAAGAUCAAGAUAAUUAGUGGAAACUGUACCAAAGUGGAGAGCAAAGGUUACUUCAGAAGGGGUGACCCAAAGCAUUUCCUGCUGAUUAUUCCUACUUAGAAAAAUUAGGGACCCAGUGUUGCCAAAUUACCAGAUUUUAAAAGGGAAUUCGUAAUGUCACAACAGGACUUUUUCAAGGUUAAAUAUACUUUCAUAUGUAUUUGGAGCCAAUGUCUCCAAAUAAGUUAAGUCUGGGCCAAAUAUAGACCAUGGUUUCUUUGCUCUAUUAAGAAAGAUAGGGAGUAUCAAAAUUAUUAUAUAACUAUACUCUUGAGAAAG